AGAGAGAGAGAGAGAGAGAGAGAGAGAGGAGAGGGGAGGGGAAAGUAGAGCGGUCUGUGAAUUCAUGCUGUGUUAGCAUCCCCUAAGCAACUCCAUCAAUACUGCAUACAGCUGAGAAACUGGCAAAGAGCCCUGGUGCUGCAUUGGAGGGCUACAGUAGCGAGAGAGAGAGAGAGAGAGAGAGAGAGAGAGAGAGGGUGAUAGAGAGAAAGGAGCUUACAGUGUGACCACUAACUGCUUCUUGCUGCUGUUCUGUUCUGUUCUGUUCUGUUCUGUUCUGUGCUGUGCUGUGCUGUGCUGUGGAGCUCUCUCACUGGGACUCAGCCCCUUGUGUGGAACAACUGCAUCCACUGCAGUCAGAGAGAAACAGAAGGAGCGAGGGAGAAGAGAGAAAGAAAAGGAGUGAGUAAGACUGGGAGAAACGAAGAGAGAGAGAGAGAGAGAGAAACAGAGAGAGAGAAAGAGAGAGAAAGAGACAACAGGAGCUGAGCACAGGAAGACACAGGUCGGGAGUACUCAGUGGGAAGAAGGCAGACCCACCGGGGGCAGGGAUUGUGUCUUGAGGGGGGAUCUGUGCUAGUAUGUUAGCGCACUCCGCAGGAUUGGCUAAACACCGGGGACUGUGACAGGACCUCAGUGCACCUGCUUCAGACAGGCUUUGGUGUAAUACUGGAAGCCCGAAGAUAUAACACAAGUCAGUCCAAAGCCGCUUUCCGUCCUGUGAAAAUUACAACCUGGCAAUGCGGAGCGACUGAUGCCUGCAAUGGCAGACCUGGACCUGCAGACCCUGAUACCACCCCUCCAGCACUCCAGCCACCACCACCACCACCACCACCCCCAAGCCCAGGGGCCCAACCUGAAGAUCUGACCCAGCCCUACCUCCUCCUUCCCUGGCCUUGCUUCAAACGGGCCUCCUGGCUUCACCCUGGGCCCACCAUGGGAGGAUGCCUCUCCAAACCCAAACCAGGUGACCCUCCAGCACCCCACACCCCCACGCCCCCCUUACCUCCAUUUAAACAAAAAAAUAACUUAACCUACCCCCUU
ensembl:lncRNA